AUUGAAUGCUGGCGGCAGGCCUAACACAUUCAAGUCGAACGAUUGGCGGACGGGUGAGUAAUUUCUGGGAAACUGCCUGAUGGAGGGGGAUAACUACUGGAAACGGUAGCUAAUACCGCAUACCAUCGGCUGUGCCCAGAUGGGAGUAGCUAGUAGGUGGGGUAAAGUCUCCCCUAGGCGACGAUCCCUAGCUGGUCUUGGAGGAUGACCGGCAACACUGGAACUGUGAAACGGUCCGGACGCCUACGCGUGGCAGAAGUGAGUAAUAAUGCACAAUGAGAGCAAGCCUGAUGCAGCCUUACCGCGUGUAUGAAGAGGGACUUAGGGUUAUAAAGUACUUACAGCGGGGAGACGUUACCCGCAGAAGAAGCACCGACUAACUCCAUACCAGCAGCCGCGGUAAUUC
rnacentral:rRNA from 1 species